rnacentral:rRNA from 1 species
AUUGAACGCUGGCGGCAGGCUUAACACAUGCAAGUCGAGCGGAGAUGAGGUGCUUGCACCUUAUCUUAGCGGCGGACGGGUGAGUAAUGCUUAGGAAUCUGCCUAUUAGUGGGGGACAACAUUCCGAAAGGAAUGCUAAUACCGCAUACGCCCUACGGGGGAAAGCAGGGGAUCUUCGGACCUUGCGCUAAUAGAUGAGCCUAAGUCGGAUUAGCUAGUUGGUGGGGUAAAGGCCUACCAAGGCGACGAUCUGUAGCGGGUCUGAGAGGAUGAUCCGCCACACUGGGACUGAGACACGGCCCUGACUCCUACGGGAGGUAGCAGUGGGGAAUAUUGGACAAUGGGCGGAAGCCUGAUCCAGCCAUGCCGCGUGUGUGAAGAAGGCCUUUUGGUUGUAAAGCACUUUAAGCGAGGAGGAGGCUACCUGGAUUAAUACUCUAGGAUAGUGGACGUUACUCGCAGAAUAAGCACCGGCUAACUCUGUGCCAGCCGCCGCGGUAAUAC